GACGAACGCUGGCGGCGUGCUUAACACAUGCAAGUCGAACGGAAAGGCCCUGCUUUUGUGGGGUGCUCGAGUGGCGAACGGGUGAGUAACACGUGAGUAACCUGCCCUUGACUUUGGGAUAACUUCAGGAAACUGGGGCUAAUACCGGAUAGGAGCUCCUGCUGCAUGGUGGGGGUUGGAAAGUUUCGGCGGUUGGGGAUGGACACGCGGCUUAUCAGCUUGUUGGUGGGGUAGUGGCUUACCAAGGCUUUGACGGGUAGCCGGCCUGAGAGGGUGACCGGCCACAUUGGGACUGAGAUACGGCCCAGACUCCUACGGGAGGCAGCAGUGGGGAGUAUUGCACAAUGGGCGGAAGCCUGAUGCAGCAACGCCGCGUGCGGGAUGACGGCCUUCGGGUUGUAAACCGCUUUCGCCUGUGACGAAGCGUGAGUGACGGUAAUGGGUAAAGAAGCACCGGCUAACUACGUG
rnacentral:rRNA from 1 species